GCGGGGGUGCCAGAUUUAUGGGAAUGCUUAAGGAGUUUUUUAAGGUUGUUACCCCCCCGUU
rnacentral:tRNA from 1 species